AAAAUUUAAAUUUAUAAUACUAAAAUAGUAAAUAAAUAUUUAUUGAAACUUAAAUAAUUUGGCGGUAUUUUAGUUCAUUUAGAGGAAUCUGUUUAAUAAUUGAUAUUCCACGAAUAAAUUUACUUAAUUUAUAAUUUUGUAUAUCGUUGUUAGAAAAAUAUUUUUUAAUAAUAAUUAAUAUUUUAAAAUUAAUAUGUUAAUUUAAAUCAGAUCAAGAUGCAGAUUAUAAUUAAGAAUAUAAUGGAUUACAAUAAAUUUAUUUAAAUGAAUUUUAAUUUGUAAAAUUAAAUGAAAGUGGAUUUAAAUGUAAUUUUAUUUAAUUUAAUAAAAUGAUUAAAAAUUAAAAUAUGU
rnacentral:rRNA from 1 species